rnacentral:rRNA from 1 species
UGGAUCCAGACUUUGAUCUGGCUCAGGAUGAACGCUAGCUACAGGCUUAACACAUGCAAGUCGAGGGGCAGCGGGAUUGAAGCUUGCUUCAAUUGCCGGCGACCGGCGCACGGGUGAGUAACGCGUAUCCAACCUUCCGUACACUCAGGGAUAGCCUUUCGAAAGAAAGAUUAAUACCUGAUAGUAUCUUAAGCACACAUGUAAUUAAGAUUAAAGAUUUAUCGGUGUACGAUGGGGAUGCGUUCCAUUAGGUAGUAGGCGGGGUAACGGCCCACCUAGCCAACGAUGGAUAGGGGUUCUGAGAGGAAGGUCCCCCACAUUGGAACUGAGACACGGUCCAAACUCCUACGGGAGGCAGCAGUGAGGAAUAUUGGUCAAUGGACGAGAGUCUGAACCAGCCAAGUAGCGUGAAGGAUGAAGGUCCUACGGAUUGUAAACUUCUUUUAUAAGGGAAUAAACCCUCCCACGUGUGGGAGCUUGUAUGUACCUUAUGAAUAAGCAUCGGCUAACUCCGUGCCAGCAGCCGCGGUAAUACGGAGGAUGCGAGCGUUAUCCGGAUUUAUUGGGUUUAAAGGGAGCGCAGACGGGUCGUUAAGUCAGCUGUGAAAGUUUGGGGCUCAACCUUAAAAUUGCAGUUGAUACUGGCGUCCUUGAGUGCGGUUGAGGUGUGCGGAAUUCGUGGUGUAGCGGUGAAAUGCUUAGAUAUCACGAAGAACUCCGAUUGCGAAGGCAGCACACUAAUCCGUAACUGACGUUCAUGCUCGAAAGUGUGGGUAUCAAACAGGAUUAGAUACCCUGGUAGUCCACACGGUAAACGAUGGAUACUCGCUGUUGGCGAUAUACUGUCAGCGGCUUAGCGAAAGCGUUAAGUAUCCCACCUGGGGAGUACGCCGGCAACGGUGCAACUCAAAUGAAUUGACGGA